AAAUGAUUCCACUCCAUUUGGGGCAUCGAUUCGAGGGAGGGAAUGGAGCAGAAAACUACAAAAAUGAGGGACUUUUUGGAGAUAAUUGAGAUUUCAAACAACCGGGCUCACAUGGUGCUACAAAGAGAUUGCAUUUCCUUUGCUGAUUAGGAGAUUGGAGUCCUACAAGUAAUAGGAAACAAAACAAGAAGGAAAGCCUCGGUUGGUGCAGGAAGCUUUGGGAGGACUUUUGCUCUCAAUUGUGCGGGAAUCACGGAGAAAAGAAAGGCAUUAGUCUAUUAUUUAGGAAGAAACGUACAGAGGCUAGGAAGUCCUACUAUCAAUAGGAAACAAGAAGGAAUUCGGAGGGUUCCAUCUUUUGGAUUCUUUUCUCUUCUUAUUAGGUUAGAAGACUAGUCACGGGGGAUAGAUGGAAUUAGAGGCUGAAUAGCCGCAGGACUGAGUUUUUUACUUUCGACAGUAUCAUGUUGGGAAUUUCCUCAACAAUGAAGAACUGAAUUCUUAUUUUCUAGUCAAGGGGACAAUUGACGAUUUGGUUCGACAA